AAGGCUUCCUCUCGUUUUCCUAACCACAGCUGUAUGUUUAUAGUGUGGCCCAGGAGAAAAAGCUGUGGAUUCCUGUCCUUAUUCUGCUAUUAAUGGACUUGGAACCUGGAGAAAGCAAGUCCAUCUGAAGGAAAUGCAAGCUAUUUCAGGAGACCAGGAAAGGUUUAUGGUAUGAAUUCAUAAUUGCAUUAUAAAUCCUACUGAAUAUGCACAUUAGUGCAAUACUGUGUGAGCAGAAAACCCUGGUGAUAUGGAGACAAGAAAAAAAUGCAUUCUUUACCAUUUGUUUGCACGAGAGACCCCCAGCUGGAUGUGUUCAAAUAGCAUAUAUGGAAACACCAGAGUUGUCAAUUUAAGUGGCUCUGGUGUUCUCCAAUAUUUUCAUUUGUUUCCCCACUCCUGUGCGAGAUAAACAGCUAUUUAUUUGUGUGUCACUUUUUGUCCUUAUUAUUCUUAUUUUUUUCACAAGCAUCAUUAUCAUUAGCAUCACGGAUGAUUACUCUAAAAAGUAAUGACACUCAAAUCUGGGUUCCUAAAUGACUGUGAAAACACUUAGGGCACUCACUGAGUUCUC
rnacentral:lncRNA from 1 species